UCUGGAGGUGGUGGCGGGUCCUGUAGUCCCAGCUACUCCGGAGGCUGAGGUUGGAGGAUCUCUGGAGCCCAGGAGUUCUGGGCUGUAGUGCGCUAGCCCCUCGGGUAUCCGCACUAAGUCCGGCAUCAAUAUGGUGACCUCCCGGGAGCGGGGGACCACCAGGUGGCCUAAGGAGGGUGAACCAGCCCAGGUCGGAAAAAGAGCAGGUCAAACCUCCCGUGCUGAUCAGUAGUGGGAUCGUGCCUGUGAACAGCCACUGCACUCCAGCCUGGGAAACACUGCGAGACCCUGUCUCU
rnacentral:SRP_RNA from 1 species